rnacentral:lncRNA from 1 species
UGCCUCUAUAGGGCCCUCUGCCUGGGCGUCUGCCUCUGUCUCUAUCUUUGGGUCCUCCUGUGUGGACUCUGUGACGUCAAUGCGAACACGCCGACCCCCUAGCACUAUGGUACCAGGAGGGCUCCCGUGUCGCGCCUCAACCUGAAGAACUGCAUGCCUCUGCUAUGGCGUGAGAUCAGCCCCAAUCCUCAGGGCACCUGAGCGUCCACCCCUCUCUGCU